GAUGAACGCUAGCUACAGGCUUAACACGUGCAAGUCGAGGGGCAGCAUGACCUAGCAAUAGGUUGAUGGCGACCGGCGCACGGGUGAGUAACACGUAUCCAACCUGCCGAUUAUUCCGGGAUAGCCUUUCGAAAGAAAGAUUAAUACUGGAUAGCAUAACGAGAAGGCAUCUUCUUGUUAUUAAAGAAUUUCGAUAAUCGAUGGGGAUGCGUUCCAUUAGUUUGUUGGCGGGGUAACGGCCCACCAAGACAUCGAUGGAUAGGGGUUCUGAGAGGAAGGUCCCCCACAUUGGAACUGAGACACGGUCCAAACUCCUACGGGAGGCAGCAGUGAGGAAUAUUGGUCAAUGGACGAGAGUCUGAACCAGCCAAGUAGCGUGAAGGAUGACUGCCCUAUGGGUUGUAAACUUCUUUUAUAUGGGAAUAAAGUGGGCCACGUGUGGCUUUUUGUAUGUACCAUACGAAUAAGGAUCGGCUAACUCCGUG
rnacentral:rRNA from 1 species